GGAUUAGAUACCCUGGUAGUCCACGCCGUAAACGAUGUCUACUAGCCGUUGGGAAACUUGAUUUCUUAGUGGCGCAGCUAACGCACUAAGUAGACCGCCUGGGGAGUACGGCCGCAAGGUUAAAACUCAAAUGAAUUGACGGGGGCCCGCACAAGCGGUGGAGCAUGUGGUUUAAUUCGAUGCAACGCGAAGAACCUUACCAGGACUUGACAUCCAGAGAACUUUCUAGAGAUAGAUUGGUGCCUUCGGGAACUCUGAGACAGGUGCUGCAUGGCUGUCGUCAGCUCGUGCCG
rnacentral:rRNA from 1 species